AAGUGAACUGAGGCGAGAUGGAAGUUGCCAGUGCGAAAAAGCAGCCGCUUGAUUUACUGCUCCCCGCUGGAGCAGAGGUCAUGGGCCAAACCACUACUUCUAAAAGUCACAAGAAUAUUGAUGCAACUUUUAAAACUUUCAACAGUUGGUUGCAAUUGAAAAUGCACAGCAGAAAUAAAUUAGGGAGACAGACGACGCCAAGAACAAUGAAAACCAUAAAAGAACAGAAGAAUUUGAAGCCAAAUCGUUAAAUGAUAGAAAAUGUACGUAGAUGAAACUCCAAAUGCAAGAUUUACCUGGAAUUAAUCACUUCUCAGACUUCCCUGAAGAAUUCAGAAAGAUCAGGAUCCAAAAAUAUCCUAUAAUGAGCUCAAAACAUGAGCAUGUUGCUGUAAGCAAGUGAUUCUAAUUGCAUUGGAAAUUUUAAAUAAUGGAUAAAUAUAUCAGGCAUAAUUCAUCUCUAGUAAUUUUUAGUCAUGCACAUGAUCACAUGAAAUAAAUUAGUAGCAAUUCCUGACUUCUUGUUUUAAGCUGUUACAUUUGUAUAAAUUAUUCUGGAAUUGCUUUAUGUUCAUCUAUGGAUCAUACAGAUCCUCCAUUCUAGUUUCAUUUGGAAGUACUGCAUGUAGCCCACCAAUAAUUUAAUAUAAUCAUUUUAUUGCCAUCCAUUUUUAAAAAAUAUGUUUAUCUUUUAUUAAAAAAUGUUUAUCUUUUAUAAAAUAUUCAUGUUGUUGUUUUGCCUAGGAAGGUCAAUGGAUUUUAAUUGACUUACUCUUAUUUUUGAGCUCAGAAAUGAGCAAUUUUUUGAUAGCCAAGAGGCAUAAUAAACUUUUUUUUUUGAGUGAUCAAGCGCCACAGUGAGUAGUAAAAUGUUGCAAAAUGAACAGGAGCAGAACGUUACAGAGGAUUUGGAUAAUGGAAGAGUUUGCUCCAUUAAAAAACUUAUUAAGCCUAUUUUAAAGAUUAGAUAGAACAUUUCCUAUGUAAAUAUUGUCACAAACUAUUUCAUCAGUUUUCAGCUUUUGCAGUCAGAAACAGCAAUAAGACCACAAAAAUAGGAUUUGGAGGCACAUAAUCACAUACAGUUAAGAUUUUUGACAGUUAAUGAUGUAAAUAUAAAACAAAACAAUCAAGUAUAAUAAAGGCAU